UGGAUGAUAAUUCUCUUCUAAAGCAUGACAACCACAUUGCUAAGUGUAUUCACAAUAUGAUAAAAUAUUCACUAAUUGACUUUUAAGCAAAAUUUAUUAUAAUUUGUUUUUUUAAAUAUAAAUAAAACGUAUCAUUUUUACUCUUUCUGCAAUAACGAUACUGAGUUGUGAGACCUCGACUCUAUGAUUCGUGAUAUUUUUUGAAUCAGAGGUUUUGUCGUAUUUGGAACUCGCGGGGUUUGGGUAAGCGGCGUACAUUCAGAUUGUUGACUUACGGUUCGAUUUAAGAUCAGCCUUGGUUGAAUGAUUGCGUUUGGAGACACAUACGUUCUACUUCCCAUUUGGGGAAGCAACAAUCAUACUGCAAGGCGUAGUUUAGUUGAGGUUGUCUAUUGAUGGGGAAGCAGUGACCGGGCCGGGAAAAGUGCUCGAUCUGUGGGGCAUUUGUCAACGAUUAUUAGAAAGAGUGCCUCUCGAUGAUGAGGAAGGAAAAUUAACCGAGUUGAAAUUCACGUGGUUAAGAAAUAACUUUGAGCAUCUAUCGAGCAGUCUAACGCAGAUGGACAUUAUUUAUCGAGCAGUCCAACGCAGAACGUUUAUUCUAUAACUCAUAGGUGCAGUUUUGAUGUCGGAUGUGAAUCAAAAUAAAGUCCACAUCAUGUACCUCUCCUUACUGGAAGACCUAGCCCAAGCUCGUAAUUAUAGUUGGGGCUCUGCAGUGCUGACUUAUACUGCGAGCUUUAACGAGCGACAAAGCCAUCCAUGAUGACCAUGGGCGGUUGCUGCCUUUUACUGCAGUUGUGGGCUUUAUAUUGGAUGCCAUUUUUGGCAUCAGUGAGCCACCAACUGCUGUUAUGGCCAUUUGUAAAUAAGUGAUUUAUCCUUUAACUAUAUCUUUUGUUUCCAAAUUAUAUAGUAUAAUACUUUUUAAAUGAUGAAAAUAAUAAUUGAAAAUAUGAACGUGUAUUUCAGAUAGGCGACGAUACCGGAAAUUGGACGAUCAUACACUAUGUCAAUAUAUCGCUAGAUGAUAGAGACUCACUCUAGGGUAAGUUUUAUGGGUGACAUAUUCGGACCAGGAAAUUACGCUACUCAUACCAUCAUGGGUUUACGAGCAACAAGCUCUAUUCGUGACAAACGUGCCAUUAAUUAAUUUUUAUAUGGUUGAGUAGCAUGUCACAGAUCGAGUCUUGAGAUAGUUCGGUUGAAUGUAACCUAUUUCGGACCCUCCACAGGACUUCAAAGAAAUACAUGGAAUUGAUAAAAUGGGUAGGGACCAAAUAAAUUGGGCAAACGAACAUGCUCCAUACAUUAUUCUGUUAAACGCCCAACAUGAGAGAUGACCCCUCUUGUUUGUCUCAAAGACAAGGUUCAUUCCUUCGCGCGAGUACACAACUUGGUAUGUCCAAAACGAAUUGCUUUACAUAUUCUAGGGUAGAUACAUGGUGAUCCUAGAACACGUGCAACCGAAAUUUUCUCUAUGGGAUAUAACUAGAACGACUGCGUCAUAAUCGAGUUCCACCAUUUGAGAACACGAAAUCUGUCUCCACUCUCGAUUUUGAGCCCUAAUAUGAAACGACUGAGUUGUCAUCGCGUACCCUCAUUUGAAUGCUCUUUCGUUCGAGGGCAUAUUUGGCAAUGACCUUGAGCCUCAACAUUCGCCACACUCCGGGUCAUCCUCAUACCACCUAGAGCUCCAUCGGCAAGCACCUACACCUAACAUUGAGAAUAUUUUUGGCUCGACACCUCCGAUCUCGCAAUACACCUUCACCCUCGAUGAUGGGGGUAUACAAUUAUAUAACUUUCUUAGUACAACAGAAGGGACACUGGAGGCUGACCUGAACAACUAUCAAGCGCCUCCUCAAGGUGCAUGCCCUCGCAGACGGAGGCAGCCCAAUCGUUAUACAUCGACCCCGGGGAUGUCGCCGGGAUUUAGACAAUUUUGAUUUUUUGUAAAUAUUUACUUUGUAAUUUUUCUUCCAAUAGGAAAAUUUUUGAAUUUUUAACAUAA